GAUCAUGGCUCAGAACGAACGCUGGCGGCAGGCUUAACACAUGCAAGUCGAGCGCCCCGCAAGGGGAGCGGCAGACGGGUGAGUAACGCGUGGGAACGUGCCCUUUGGUUCGGAACAACUCCGGGAAACUGGAGCUAAUACCGGAUAAGCCCUUCGGGGGAAAGAUUUAUCGCCAAAGGAUCGGCCCGCGUCUGAUUAGCUAGUUGGUGAGGUAAUGGCUCACCAAGGCGACGAUCAGUAGCUGGUCUGAGAGGAUGAUCAGCCACACUGGGACUGAGACACGGCCCAGACUCCUACGGGAGGCAGCAGUGGGGAAUAUUGGACAAUGGGCGCAAGCCUGAUCCAGCCAUGCCGCGUGAGUGAUGAAGGCCUUAGGGUUGUAAAGCUCUUUUGUCCGGGAAGAUAAUGACUGUACCGGAAGAAUAAGCCCCGGCUAACUUCGUG
rnacentral:rRNA from 1 species